GGGGAAUAUUGGACAAUGGGCGCAAGCCUGAUCCAGCCAUGCCGCGUGAGUGAUGAAGGCCCUAGGGUUGUAAAGCUCUUUCACCGGUGAAGAUAAUGACGGUAACCGGAGAAGAAGCCCCGGCUAACUUCGUGCCAGCAGCCGCGGUAAUACGAAGGGGGCUAGCGUUGUUCGGAAUUACUGGGCGUAAAGCGCACGUAGGCGGACAUUUAAGUCAGGGGUGAAAUCCCGGGGCUCAACCCCGGAACUGCCUUUGAUACUGGGUGUCUGGAGUCCGGAAGAGGUGAGUGGAAUUCCGAGUGUAGAGGUGAAAUUCGUAGAUAUUCGGAGGAACACCAGUGGCGAAGGCGGCUCACUGGUCCGGUACUGACGCUGAGGUGCGAAAGCGUGGGGAGCAAAC
rnacentral:rRNA from 1 species